rnacentral:lncRNA from 12 species
GGUCAGGUGGUCCAAGGGAGUGCUCUCAGUGACACAGCUGAUAGUGGACCGCCUCCAGGGUAUGGAAUAUCUCCCGUAGUGAACCUAGAGCAGGAGAAUUUGAGGAAUAGAUUGACAGAGCUCCAGGUCCAGGAGUAUUUGACUUGAACUCAUGUGCCCCUAAGGGACAUUUCAGGGGUUAUGAGAAUCUUAUCCAAACUGAAACAACUGCAUUCCUCUUCUGGACCCGCCACCCAUCAGUUUGGUAACUCUUGAUCAUCUGGAAGAGAGUAAUGACCAAAGGAUCAUAGGGUGCAUCUAGAAGGACACAGAGUACCCAUCAGUACAUUUUUAUGCCACUCAAGAAUAACUCAGGUAGGGGUGCCUGAGUUGCUCAGGCAUUUACGAGUCUGCCUUUAGCGCAAGUCAGGCUCUCUGAGACCUAAAAUCAAGCUUAGUGCAGGGCUCUCCACUCA